AAGAAAUUCCACAACAAUAACCUGAGCUAUUAAGUAAAAAGCUCUUUAGGAAAAAAUUAAGAAUGUUCAAUGGGUACUCAUCCACUCCCGAUGUGCCUUUGCUCCUCAGAGGGCAAAGUAUCUCCCCUCCUCUCUCGUCUGUAGCUGUGGUUCCUCUGCAUCCGACCCUUGUCCAGCUUGCUCUCUGGUUAUCAUCGCAGUCCCCUCAGAGAGUCCCUGGUGCAGACAUCCGGGAUGACUGGGCCAUUUUCCACAAGGGUUCACCACGACCACUGAAUCUGGGUUAAUGACAGUAGUCUGCAGUACAAACAUCAACACUACACUACACUAAGAUAGAUCUGCUUUUGAUACCAUUUAUAUCUUUAUCAUAAAGUCAUUAGUGAUUUUAUUUUUGCCCAUCCAUUGAUGUCAAUAAGUAGGGCAGUAAGGAAAGAGGAAGAGUUUUCUGUGGCAUGUCUCUUGGGAAGACCCAUCUGCUUUGGGAAGACCCAUCUGGCAGUUGUCUGUAGACUAAUAUGUGGGUCCUUUAGAAAACACACAGAAUUAAAAAAAAAAAAAAUUCUAAUCAAGGCACAAAAGAAAAAAUAAUCAUCUACUCCCACUUACAGUAGUAUAAUCAAUAAAGACUAUCUGCUGUAUUGGCUCCUCUAGUGUCUAAAAUGAGUUUAAGCAAAAAAGGAGGUAUAGAAGGAAUUUUCAUCUUGAGAAGCCUCUUCAUCUUGACACACAACCCUUAACAUUCACAGUGCUGUACAAAAUAUGCUGUGACUAACCACUGUAUCUGUGUCUCAUCAGUGGCUCAUCAUGGCUAAGUGUUUUAUGUAUGUAUUUAUACAGCUCUAAACAAACUGAGAGGCAAAAUACACAAUAGGGAGAAAGAAAGAGAGAGAAAGUGUAUAUUUGCCAGACAGGAUGACGUGAAUCUCCCUACAUGUACAGUAUACUGCAUGUUAUCAGUCAACUACUUCUGUUUUACGUAUGGGAAGCAUUGCUUUGGGAGACAAAUCUACCCUGCAUAAAUUACUACCCAACUUCCUCAUAAUCUCUCUCUCUGUGACUAUUUCUGAACUUCCUGCUGCUAGUUUUAACCCUCAGCAACAACAACCCAACCAGACUACCUCCUGUCUGGGGCUUGACCUCUGAAGCUGACCUGAGAUUCCUCUGUACUGAAGAUGACUUUAAAGAGACGACUGCUGUCCAUUUUGUUGUGUUGUGUCUACUGUGUCGCUUCGCUCUUCUGCUUGAACCCCAACCGCAACAACUGUGGCUCCAUCAGCGCUCGGAAUCUCAUGACAGUUGCCCAGCAGCUGUACCAACGAGUCAUGAGGCUAAUGCGCACCACUCUCUGAUCCUAUGGAGCCGGAGUUGAGUCCCUCAACACUAAUCAUCACCAGGACUGAGACACUCUCCUGCCUUACCCUGUCCAUACAAUGGAGAUGACCUGCAGAGCACCUGCCAUCGACAGAGCAAGAGGACGAAAAGCUCUCAUUACAGUUCACCGUAAUAAAGCAGGAGAUAGUUUUUUAAAAAUGUCAAUGUUUUAUUGAUGCAAAUAGAUUUUGUUGAGAUCCUAGUGGGCCUUAACUGCAUAAGCGUUGUGUUAGUGCCCCAAUUUCCCUGCAUUAUAAUGUAAGUGCUGGAAAAGCCGUUUGCAGGAUAAUUCAAAGAUGUCAUUAAUUUCAUGCCCUCUUGUGGAAAACUGAUCAGUUAUUUCUGCAUGAUAAAAAAAAUUAUGCUUUCAAUGAGCUUCAAUGCUAUCCCUGGACAUGGAAAAUAUUCCUUGCUGGAAUUGAUGUGAUUGAGUUUAGUUAAAUCUACUACAUGAAUGCAUAUAGUGCAGUAUGUCUUCAUAGAAUAAUACGAAAAAAUGUUCCUUGUGCAAAUUAUGAUAAGAUAGGCUAUGUUUAAAAAAUGUGUACCACUUGAUUAGCUAAAUGUUAUAACA